GCAUCAGUGGUUCAAAUGCAGAAUUCUCGCCUUCCAUAUGGGAGACCUGGGUUCAUUUCUCAGCCAAUGCA
rnacentral:tRNA from 1 species